UACGUAGGGGGCAAGCGUUGUCCGGAAUCAUUGGGCGUAAAGAGCGCGUAGGCGGCCCUGUAAGUCCGCUGUGAAAGUCAAGGGCUCAACCCUUGAAUGCCGGUGGAUACUGCAGGGCUAGAGUCCGGAAGAGGCGAGUGGAAUUCCUGGUGUAGCGGUGAAAUGCGCAGAUAUCAGGAGGAACACCGAUGGCGAAGGCGGCUCACUGGACCGGUUCUGACGCUGAGGCGCGAAAGCGUGGGGAGCAAACGGG
rnacentral:rRNA from 1 species